GACGAACGCUGGCGGCGUGCUUAACACAUGCAAGUCGAGCGGGAUCCAACCGGUGGCAACACCGGGGAAGAUCUAGCGGCGAACGGGUGAGUAACACGUGAGCAACCUGCCCCGAAGACUGGGAUAACACCGGGAAACCGGUGCUAAUACCGGAUGUCGUCAUUAGGCCGCAUGACCUGAUGAUGAAAGGAUUCAUCGCUUCGGGAGGGGCUCGCGGGCUAUCAGCUUGNGGUGGGGUAACGGCCUACCAAGGCGACGACGGCUAGCUGGUCUGAGAGGACGACCAGCCACACUGGGACUGAGACACGGCCCAGACUCCUACGGGAGGCAGCAGGUGGGGAAUCUUGCGCAAUGGGCGAAAGCCUGACGCAGCAACGCCGCGU
rnacentral:rRNA from 1 species